rnacentral:rRNA from 1 species
CCUACGGGUGGCAGCAGUGAGGAAUAUUGGUCAAUGGCCGAAAUGCUGAACCAGCCAAGCCGCGUGAGGGAAGACUGCCCUAUGGGUUGUAAACCUCUUUUAUCAGGGAAGAAUAAAUGCUACGUGUAGCAUGAUGCGUGUAUCCUAUGAAAAAGCAUCGGCUAACUCCGUGCCAGCAGCCGCGGUAAUACGGAGGAUGCGAGCGUUAUCCGGAUUUAUUGGGUUUAAAGGGUGCGUAGGCGGUUUCUUAAGUUAGUGGUUAAACGUCGGGGCUCAACCUCGAUGUGCCAUUGAGACUGGAAGACUCGAGUUGAGACGAGGUAGGCGGAAUGAGUGGGGUAGCGGUGAAAUGCUUAGAUAUCGCGUAGAACUCCGAUAGCGAAGGCAGCGUACCGGAGUGCGACUGACGCUGAAGCACGAGAGCGUGGGGAGCGAACAGGAUUAGAUACCCGUGUAGUC